UACGAAGGGGGCUAGCGUUGCUCGGAGUCACUGGGCGUAAAGGGUGCGUAGGCGGGUCUUUAAGUCAGGGGUGAAAUCCUGGAGCUCAACUCCAGAACUGCCUUUGAUACUGAAGAUCUUGAGUUCGGGAGAGGUGAGUGGAACUGCGAGUGUAGAGGUGAAAUUCGUAGAUAUUAGGAAGAACACCAGUGGCGAAGGCGGCUCACUGGCCCGGUACUGACGCUGAGGCGCGAAAGCGUGGGAAGCAAACAGG
rnacentral:rRNA from 1 species